GAAAGGAAGCUUCUUCUCCAAAAUUUAAAAAAAAAAUUAAAAUUAUUCCUUCUGAAACUUGACCUCGAAGCUGACUGCUGAAUGCGAUUAGGAUUCCUGAAGAUGCACCAGACUGAUUCUGGCAAGCCGUCUGUCGUCUGGAUAUGCACUGUUGUUCGUCAUGGUCAGCAAUCUUCUUCGUUCGUCCUUUCGUUUUCGUUUUCCGCGUAUUACUUCAAUAUUAUUUUAUUAGUGCAGUAAUUGCCAAGACAGAAGACUGCAGUACGAACUCGUACUCGUAGCAGCAGCAAUGCCAAGAAGAGCAGGCAGCGUAGCAAAAGCAGUCACAACAACGCAGACGCAAUAACAUUUUCAGCAGCCGUUCAUCUCAGAGGGGAUGCAGCGCCAAACUGCGAGGGUGGGGUGGUAACUCUCACAACCAAUGCCUCCGCAGGUUCAUCCUUAGCUACCCCACAGCUGAGUGCCAUACUGGUCAUGACGUAACUACAGAAACAGGAAAACUUGGAGCUGAGCCAAGGGCAAGAACUUUAUACCUGUGCAUGGCCAUGAUCCCAUGUACAAACAGCCCCAGAGAGUACCCAUGCGUGCUGGCAGCUUACUCAUCUGGGACCAGCGUGUGGCGCACGGCAGCCGGCCCAACAACAGCACGCGAGCAAGGUACGUCAGAACACUGCUACG